GAACGAGAAAGUGGAGCAAUCCAUGAGUAAAGUGGCGCACGGGUGAGUAACACGUGACUAACCUACCCUUGAGUGGGGGAUAACCUGGGGAAACCUUGGCUAAUACCGCAUAACACCUACGGGUCAAAGGAGCAAUUCGCUUAAGGAGGGGGUCGCGGCAGAUUAGCUAGUUGGCGGGGUAAUGGCCCACCAAGGCAGUGAUCUGUAUCCGGCCUGAGAGGGCGCACGGACACACUGGAACUGAAACACGGUCCAGACUCCUACGGGAGGCAGCAGUGGGGAAUUUUGCGCAAUGGGGGAAACCCUGACGCAGCAACGCCGCGUGGAGGAUGAAGUCCCUUGGGACGUAAACUCCUUUCGAUCGGGACGAUAAUGACGGUACCGAGAGAAGAAGCCCCGGCUAACUUCGUGCCAGCAGCCGCGGUAAUACGAGGGGGGCGAGCGUUGUUCGGAAUUAUUGGGCGUAAAGGGUGCGUAGGCGGUUCGGUAAGUCUUAUGUGAAAUCUUCGGGCUCAACUCGAAGUCUGCAUGAGAAACUGCCGGGCUUGAGUGUGGGAGAGGUGAGUGGAAUUUCCGGUGUAGCGGUGAAAUGCGUAGAUAUCGGAAGGAACACCUGUGGCGAAAGCGGCUCACUGGACCACAACUGACGCUGAUGCACGAAAGCUAGGGGA
rnacentral:rRNA from 1 species